rnacentral:rRNA from 1 species
AUUGAACGCUGGCGGCAGGCCUAACACAUGCAAGUCGAGCGGAUGAAGGGAGCUUGCUCCUGGAUUCAGCGGCGGACGGGUGAGUAAUGCCUAGGAAUCUGCCUGGUAGUGGGGGAUAACGUCCGGAAACGGGCGCUAAUACCGCAUACGUCCUGAGGGAGAAAGUGGGGGAUCUUCGGACCUCACGCUAUCAGAUGAGCCUAGGUCGGAUUAGCUAGUUGGUGGGGUAAAGGCCUACCAAGGCGACGAUCCGUAACUGGUCUGAGAGGAUGAUCAGUCACACUGGAAGUGGGACACGGUCCAUACUCCUACGGGAGGCAGCAGUGGGGAAUAUUGGACAAUGGGCGAGAGCAUGAUACAGCCAUGCCGCGUGUGUGAAGAAGGUCUUCGGAUUGUAAAGCACUUUAAGUUGGGAGGAAGGGCAGUAAGUUAAUACCUUGCUGUAUUGACGUUAACAACAGAAUAAGCACCGGCUAACUUCGUG